UAGCUGUUACUACAUUAAUUAAGUCACUGAAAACCUGCUACUGCACUUACUAAACCUGCUACUACACUAGCUGAACCAAUAAAAACCUGUUAUUACAUCUCGUACUGAAAAUAGCUGCUACUACAUUUACUGAACCACUAAAAACAUGUUACUGCACUUACUGAAGCUGCUACUACACUAGCUGAACCAUUAAAACCUUGCUACUACAUUUGUUGGAAGUGUAGUAGCACCUAACUCUCCAGUUUAACAUGCUACUACAUUAGUUGAGCCACUGAAAACCUGCUACUGUAGUUACUGAAGCUGCUACUACACUAGUUGAACCGAUAAAAACUUGCUACUACAUUACGUAUUGAAAAUAGCUACUACUACAUUUUGCUGAGCAACUAAAAAACUGCUACUGCACUUACUGAAACUGCUAUUACACUAGUUGAACAAUUAAAACCCUGCUACUAGAUUUGUUGGAAGAGUAGUACGUAGUAGCUAACUCUCCAGUUUAACAUGCUACUACAUUAGUUGAGCCACUGUAAAACCCGCUACUGUAGUUACGGAAGCCAAAGAUUAAAAUCUCUGCGAUAUAUCCUCUGAUAUCUCAUUUUUUCGAAUGACCGAUAUAUCUAUAGGGGUCAAUAUCUUAUUUUCCACUGUAUCUACGAUAUUUCCCUGAUAUUUCCCUGAUAUUUCUUCGAUACUGUCAAAUAUCUUCGAUAUUUAUGAUAUUUUCGAUAUAUCAUCGAUAUAUUAAAAAAAUAUCUGUCAAAAAAAUUGAAAUGAUAUCUGGAAGAGAAGUAAUUCUCUCAAGGUAUAUCUUAAUGAAGAGUGUGGGUCUCGAGUGAUAUCUAGGAUAGAAGUAAUUCCCUCGAGGUAUAUCCCAAUGAAGAGUGAGGGUCUUGACUCUUGAAUGAUUUCCGGAAGAGAAAUUCCCUCGAGGUAUAUCUAGAAUAGAAGUAAUUCCCUCAAGAUAUAUCUCAAUGAAGAGUGCGGGUCUCGAGUGAUAUCUAGGAUAGAAGUAAUUCUCUCAAGAUAUAUGCCAAUGAAAAGUGAGGGUUUUGAGUGAUUUCCAGAAGAGAAGUAAUUCCCUCGAGGUGUAUCCCAAUGAAGAGUGGUGGUUUCGAGAAAAGCAUGAUUCAUUUCAAGAGAUAUUUGGAUGCAGAUCGAUCUAUUACACAAUUAUCAAAUUUAGAGAUGAGUCAUAUGUCUUGGUCUGAUUAUUGUACUUUUGUGGACCAGUGUGCGUCUUAUCAACAACAUAGAUUCUCAUUCUGGAUGUAGAUGAAGUUGAUGUUUGUAAUAUUUAUAUGUAAAUCUAAUAAAGUAAAUAUUUUAAAAAAAAUUCUUCUCAAAAUCCAUAUAUUUUUUCCCGGGUUUCCCCGAUAUAUCUGAUAUCUCUCUUUUCAAAGGACCGAUAGAUACACCGAUACCGAUAUUUUAAUCAUUGACUGAAGCUGCUACUACACUAGCUGAACCAAUAAAAACCUGCUACUGCAUUUAUUGGAAGUGUAGUAGCAGCAAUAUUCCAGCAAAUGUAGUAGCAGCUAAAACAAGGGGCAAUUACAUAGAAGUCCAUUUGGAGACAUUUUCUCCCAUAUAAGUCUACCUAAACAUUUUUACCCAUAUAAGUCCACCCAAGCCUAAAUAGAGUCUUAUAUUAAGUAUUAAAGUUCAACAAAAUUACAGACUGCCAUCCAACCAAAAAAUUAGAUUUUUUCUCUUAUAUUUACAAAAAUGCUACUAAUAUAAAAAGUCAACAACCAUAAAUGGUCUCCGACUGACCUCCGGCGAAAUUUCCAACCGACCUCCGCCGAACUUUCCGACCGAACUCCGGCGAACAUUCCGGCCGACCAUCUAUGAGGAUUCUAGCGACCACAAAAGCUACUACCAGUGACAACAAAAGCUACUACCGCUGACAAAGAAAGCUACUACCACUAACAAAGAAAGCUACUACUACUGACAACAAAAGAUACUACUGAUAGCAAAAAAAACUACUGUCACCAGCAAAGAAAUCUACUACUGAUAGCAACAAAAGCUACUACCGCCAGCAAAGAAAGCUACUACUAUUGACAACAAAAUAUACUACCGAUAGCAAAAAAGGCUACUGUCACUAGCAAAGAAAGCUACUACCGAUAGCAACAAAAGCUACUACGACCAACAAAGAAAGCUACUACCACUGACAGGUCUCUGGCUGACUUCAGGUAAAGUUUCUGACCGACCUCCGACAAUGUAACUGAAGAUUGCAAAAGAUACUGUCACUAGCAACAAAGGCUACUACCAUCGGCUAUAAAAACUACUAUUAUCGGCUAUAAAAGCUACUAUGGUGAGAUCUUCGACGACCUCCGACGAGAUCACAAAAAACUAUCGCCAGUAACAAAAAUACUACCGAACAUAACAAAAUCUACUACCACCAGCUACAAAAGCUACGAUACUAAGAUUCCGGUGACCUCCGGCGAGGUCACAAAAGAUACUACCAAGCAUAUGAAAAACUACUAUCAACAAAGAUAUUACCGCCGUAAACAAAAGCUACUACAGUCACCAGCAAAAGAUAUUACCGCCAGCAACAAAAGAUACUACUGAUGUGAACAAAAGCUNNNNNNNNNNNNNNNNNNNNCAACAAAAGCUACUACCGUCACCUACAAAAGCUACUACCGCCACCAAUCGAAUCUACUACCUUCAACAACAAAAUCUACUAUAUCCAACAACAAAAGCUGCUAUGGUGAGAUUUUCGACGACCUUCAGAAAGGUCACAUAUAAUGUCGCUAACAACAAAAGUUACUACUAAGCAGAACAAAAACUACUAUCCGGCAUAACAAAAGAUACUACCAAGCAUAAUAAAAGCUACUGUCACCAGCAACAAAAGCUACUACCAAGCAAAACACAUGAUAUUACCAAGCACAACAAAACCUACUACCAAACAGAAGAAAAGUUACUGCAAUCAAGAGAAUAUAACAAAUUCAAUGGUGCAAAAAAUAUGAAGCCUUCUACAAUAAUAUAAUUAUGUACAAAAGCUGCUACCACUGACUACAAAAACUACUACAACCAACAACAAAAGCUACUGCCGUUAGUAACAAAAGCUACUACCGCUGACAAGAAAAGCUACUACCACCAAUUACAAAAGCUACUACCACCGAUUACAAAAGCUACUACCACCAACUACAAAAGCUAAUACCACCGACUACAAAAGCUACUACAGCCAACAACAAAAGCUACUACCGCCAGCAAUAAAAGCUACUAUCCCUAGCUACAAAAGCUACUACCACCGACUACGAAAGCUACUACAGUCAACAACAAAAGCUACUACAGCCAAUAACAAAAGCUACUACCGUCAGCAAAAAAAGCUACUAACCUUAGCUACAAAAGCUACUACCACCGACUACAAAAGCUACUACAGCCAACAACAAAAACCACUACUGCCAGUAACAAAAGCUACUACUGCCAACAACAAAAUCUAUUAUCCCUACCUACAAAAGCUGCUACCACCGACUACAAAAGCUACUACUGGAGGUUGAGAAAAUUAUUUUUUAUAGACUUGCAUGAUUGCGGAAAUGUAGAGGAUACAACUAAAAUAAAAAUGCUAAUGCAAUCGAGUGAAUAAAACAUAUUCAAUGAUACAAAAAGACGUUUUCAACAAUGAUAAAAUUAUUUACAAAACUACUUCCAUAGUUGUAAAAAGUUGCUACUA
rnacentral:lncRNA from 1 species